CACCAUUCAUUUCCUUCCACUCUCAAAUAUCAUUUCCCUGCUUUAUUCUUUCCACGCCAAGAACUUGUCCAGCUACCAUCUCUGGUUCUUAUAAACCCUAGAUCUUUUUUCACUGGAAAAGUCAGGAACCCUAGAUUUCAUUUACUUCCCUCGUAUCCAACAACCUCAAAGCUCUCUCGUAGCCAAAAACCCCAUUUUUCCACCACAAUUUCUCAAACCCUAAUAAAUUUUUGGUUGUCCUUGUAAAAUUAAAAACAGGGUUUCAUGGAUUAUUUCAAGAUUCUCCCGACGGAGAUUACAGUAGACAUUUUGACUCGCUUACCUACCGAAUUGGUUUUGGAGUGCAAAUUAGUUCCCACGACUUGAGGAAUCUCGUUUCUCAUCAUCCAUCCUUCUGCCGUAUUCACUUACACCAUCUCAAUCAUCCUUCUGCCUGAUUCUGGUAAGUUGGGUUUCCUUGCUUAUACUCAUGAUAUUGAUGGUAAUAGAAAAUUUCACUAUUUUGAAUUUAAUGAAAAUCAUGAGUCAACUCCCAUUCAGAGAAUUAGAAGGAUUAAUUUGAAACCUCCAUUUAAGAGUAUGAUCUUUGUUGGUUCAUGCAAUGGGUUGAUCUCUUGCUGGAAACCACCGCCCAUCUGUUUGGAUUUGUAACCCCAUUAUCAAAAAUGUGUUAUGUUUCCAGAACUUAAACGAGAAUGUUCUUGUGAUAUUGAUGAGACGACCAACUUUGGUUAUGUUUCUUCAAACAAUGAGUACAGAAUCUUAAGAACAUUUCUGCUGAAGACCAAGAUGGAAGACGUCUACAUAUAUACUCUAGGCAGUGGCGAUGGAUGGCGACUUGGCAAAACAUUGGAAAGUUCGAUUUUGGAUCCAGCAAACCGUGGGAACAAGGUGUUUUUUCCAAUGGAGCUCUUUAUUGGCUGGACAUAGAAUUGAAAACGAUCAUCACAUUUGAUUUGAACGAGGAAAAGUUCUGCGAACAUCUUUCACUUCCUCUUUUGCUACCAGACGGGCAUUGGGUUUAUAAUGUGGGGGUUUUUGGAUGGGUUUUUGUCUUUUACUAUUGUUAUUGCUAUGGUAGAAACUCUCGAUAUAGUAGAAACCAUAUAUUCUCACAUAUGGCUAUUGAAAAAGAAGAAUGAUAAUCAUGACAAGAAAGAGGGAGAGGAGCACCAUCCAUUGGUUUGGAGUAAAGAGUUUAGGCUUAAAAAUAGCGAUCCGUUAUUAACUAUUACAAAGAGAAGCGGGGUUUUGACUUGGAAUGAUCAUGAUCUCUACCUUUACGACAGAAAAAAUUCAACUUCUGAAAGGCUUGUGGAGUUUAAGGAUCGGUUUCUUAAAGUAUCCCCUCACAUGAACACCUUAGUUUCAUUGAAAGAAUUAGGGGAAGAAGAUACGAAGACAAUGGAGUCAGUUGAAAUUGAGGAGACAAGAAGCCGUGAUUAUCUUUUCAAGCCGCUCCAGGAGGAUACCAACCCUGAAUGCAUAUAAUCGUAAACCGAGCAAAACUGGCUUAUUGCAUCAGCAGGUCCGAGUUCAUAUUCCCAUUGUAGUGAACUUGAUGCUGCUGCGAUGAAGCUUCAGAAAGCUUAUAAGAGUUACCGGACUCGGAGAAAUCUUGCAGAUUAUGCAGUUCUGAAGGAGGAGCUUGGGUGGAAAGUUGGACAUUGCCUCUCUGAAGCAAGGUUUGAUAUCUUUUUUCAACAUUGAGAACCAGAAACAGCUAUUUCUGAAGGGUACGAGCAAGGACAAGAGCUGCCAAGGUACUCUUCACUUGACUACACAUAAAUAGUCGCAAAGAGUUUUGUUUGGAUUUGCCUAGUUUCCUUACUGAUAUUUGGGGACCAAUUUUGGUCAAAGAGGUAACCCGUCAAACUCUUUUGGUUGUAUUUUCUUUUCUUUCUGUGGCGUCGACUAUUGUGUCUUACAUUCAAAUCAUGUUUUUGUUCCUCUUCGAUAUAAUUAAAAUUUUAAAAAUUAGUUCUGGUGAAAGAAUCACAUAAAAAUCACUAUACUCAUAUAAUGCAGGUUGGCAAAGGAUAAAAUGCACAAAAACUAGCUUUGCAAUAUUAGCUUGAAACUGUAACUUCAGGCACCUUGUUCAAUAUAAACUGUCUGAGAUUGACAUACAUAUACAUAUUUUAUUUUUCAUCGACCCAAGACAUCGCUAUGGUUACUACCUACACUUCUAGUAUGAUUUGUGGUUCGAAUGCGAGAGCAGUUGACCAUUCUUCUACUGGUAGAUGCUUCUUCUAAAGCUCUUUCCCCCAAUGGAUUUACUUCCUCUUUCCUUGUAAUUUUAUUUUCAUAAAUUUUUGAAGGUUGGAUGUUGGGGAUCUUAACUGUUGUACUUGAGGUGCUGAUGGUACUGAUUCAUCAAAUAGGAAACUUGCUCUCUGUGUGAUAGUUCAAAUGCUUAACAAUCGGAAAGAAAUCCAUGGAAUAUUCAUUGCAAUAUGAAAAACUACCGAGGUUACGGUUGCAAAGGUUUCAAGUGAAGCAGAGCAGUGUUUGACUUUAGUUUUGUCUCAGUAUGAUCCAUUCAGAUGCCUACAGACACAGUAAGUUAUUGUGCCCUUAGAGUGAAGAUGAGAAGGCUCUUGUUUCUUGCAUUAACUUUCUGACCAAGGUGGAAAGUUGGACUUUUACUCUCUGAAGCGGAGUUUGGUAUCUAUUUUCAACAUUGAGAAACCAGAAACAUCUAUUUCUGACGGGUACGGGCAAGGACUAGAGCUGCCAAGGUUGGCGAAGGUUCAACCAAGGAUGAAAAGGCUCAAAAACUAGCUUUGCAACAUUAGCUUGAAGCUGAACUUUAGGGACCUUGUUCAAUAUGAACUGUCUGAGAUUGACAUACUUUAUAUUUUAUAUUUCAUUGACCCAUAGAAUCUCUAUGGUUACUACCUAUACUUGUAGUAUGAUGUGUGGUUCGAAAGUGAGAGCAGUUGGCCAUUCUUCUACCGGUUGGAUGUUGGGGAUCUUAACUGUUAUACUGGAGGUGCUGACGAGUCUGAUUCGUCAAUUAGGGAACUUGCUCUUCAUGUGAUAGUUGAAAUGUUUAAUAAUCAGAAAGAAUCGAUGGAAGAUUCAAUCGAGAUUGCAAUUGAAAAACGGCUUCAUGUUACCCAGGUUACAGUUGCAAAGGUUUCAAGUGAAGCAGAGCAGUUUUAACUUUAGUUUUGUCCCAGUAUGAUCCAUUCAGGUUAUUGUGUCCUUGUUAGAGUGAAGAUGAGAAGACUCUUGUUUCUUGCAUCAACUGUCUGACCAAGAUUGGGACUAUUCAAUUGGAGUUCACUGAUGCAACAGGGAGCUUCCUGCAAGCUGCUCGUAAAGCUCCUGUUGGAGCCCUUGGCUUCCGAGCUCAAUGCAACAAAUGGGGCAUCACAGUUGUAUUGCUAUUGUGGGGAAAUAUCAGAGAGAAUUCUCUUCAUGCUUCAGUUUCGAGGCCGUACUUUUGAGCUUACAAAUGCUGUUCGUGUAGGUGAUUUGGAGCUGUUUAGGAAUGUUGCGGAUAAGUUUGCAAGUACUUUCAGCUCAGACACGCAAUCUGGUUGUGAGGUUGCAAUAUAAUGGUAUCAGGACAGGGAUUCACGAUAUAAGAUUCUCCUAAUCUCGCAUUUCACUUGUUGAUGUUGCUUGCAAGCUGAGGUAGGACUCCCCGAACCUUGUUGCGGAUGCUGAUAUAGCUAGGCAGCUGUUGCUGCAUUUUUAACAAGGAUAAACAUGCAACCGCGAAACAUCACCGAGUCAGCUCCAAUCAAAACAUGUGAAAGGCCAAAAUGGGACGCCAAUUGGAAGAAUUGGGAUAAAGGUACCUAACAAUUUUAUUGUCGGGUUCUAAGACUUGAUAGACAUAUUAUAAAAUCAAUUACGGGGUUUCGGGGUCGUAUGGUAUGAAUUAGUCACCUGAACUGGGAAACUUAAGAACUUGCAAAUGUGUGUAAGCUUAAAACACAAAAGAUGGUUGAACUUUAAAAUUGACAAUAUUAUAAUUGCUCAUGAAAUUGUUCACACAAUGAAAAGAACUAAAGCUAAGAGUGGAAUCAUGGGCCUUAAAAUUGACAUGUCUAAGGCUUUUGAUAGGGUAGAGUGGUCCUUUCUAAUUGAUGUACUAAAAGGUUUUGGUUUUUCUAUCGUUGGUGUGAGUUGAUUUCUCAA